rfam:Ruminococcus sp. CAG:382 genomic scaffold, scf128
CGAUAGCACUCCGGAGAAGUCCGCAAAGGAUGCCGAAGGGGUAAAGCGCGAAACCGCGCCAAUCUCUCAGGCAAAAGGACGGAGAAUACACA